UACGUAGGGGGCAAGCGUUGUCCGGAUUUAUUGGGCGUAAAGAGCUCGUAGGCGGUCUGUCGCGUCGGAUGUGAAAGCCCGGGGCUUAACCCCGGGUCUGCAUUCGAUACGGGCAGACUAGAGUGUGGUAGGGGAGAUCGAAUUCCUGGUGUAGCGGUGAAAUGCGCAGAUAUCAGGAGGAACACCGGUGGCGAAGGCGGAUCUCUGGGCCAUUACUGACGCUGAGGAGCGAAAGCGUGGGGAGCGAACAGG
rnacentral:rRNA from 1 species